CGAACGGGUGAGUAACACGUGAGGAACCUGCCCCGAAGACCGGGAUAACAGCGGGAAACCGCUGCUAAUACCGGAUACCUUCCUUUGAUCGCAUGGUCGUUGGAAGAAAUGGAUUCCGCUUCGGGAGGGCCUCGCGGUCUAUCAGCUUGUUGGUGGGGUAACGGCCUACCAAGGCAACGACGGAUAGCUGGUCUGAGAGGACGAUCAGCCACACUGGGACUGAGACACGGCCCAG
rnacentral:rRNA from 1 species